rnacentral:rRNA from 1 species
AACGAACGCUGGCGGCAUGCCUAACACAUGCAAGUCGAACGGGAUCCUGGUUUCGGCCAGGUGAGAGUGGCGGACGGGUGAGUAACACGUGGGAAUCUGCCCUUUGGUCUGGGAUAGCCGCGGGAAACUGCGGCUAAUACCGGAUGCCCUCGCGAGAGGAAAGAUUUAUCGCCAGAGGAGGAGCCCGCGUCCGAUUAGGUAGUUGGUGGGGUAAAGGCCUACCAAGCCGACGAUCGGUAGCUGGUCUGAGAGGAUGAUCGGCCACACUGGGACUGAGAUACGGCCCAGACUCCUACGGGAGGCAGCAGUGGGGAAUAUUGGACAAUGGGGGCAACCCUGAUCCAGCAAUGCCGCGUGAGUGAUGAAGGCCUUAGGGUUGUAAAGCUCUUUUGCCAGGGAAGAUGAUGACGGUACCUGGAGAAUAAGCCCCGGCUAACUUCGUGCCAGCAGCCGCGGUAAUACGAAGGGGGUCUAGCGUUGUUCGGAAUUACUGGGCGUAAAGGGCGCGUAGGCGGCCGUUUAAGUUAGAUGUGAAAGUCCUGGGCUCAACCUGGGGACUGCAUUUAAUACUGGAUGGCUUGAAUUCGGGAGAGGAUAGCGGAAUUCCCCAGUGUAGAGGUGAAAUUCGUAGAUAUUGGGAAGAACACCGGUGGCGAAGGCGGCUAUCUGGACCGACAUUGACGCUGAGGCGCGAAAGCGU